rnacentral:pre_miRNA from 1 species
UAUGGCUUUUUAUUCCUAUGUGAUUAUACUACUCCUUUCAUAUAGGGAUUGAAGCCGUGCA